CAGAGUAGAUGCCAAGCGUUAAGUGCCGAAAAAUGGGAAGUUGUUUUCGGACGAAGAGACCAUGUCUUGCGGUUUGGCAUCGCAUCCGCUGU
rnacentral:ncRNA from 1 species